rnacentral:rRNA from 1 species
AUACGUAGGGCGCGAGCGUUGUCCGGAUUUACUGGGUGUAAAGGGUGCGUAGGCGGCUCUGCAAGUCAGGUGUGAAAACCAUCGGCUUAACUGAUGGACUGCAUUUGAAACUGUGGGGCUUGAGUGGAGUAGAGGCAGACGGAAUUCCCGGUGUAGCGGUGAAAUGCGUAGAGAUCGGGAAGAACACCAGUGGCGAAGGCGGUCUGCUGGGCUCUAACUGACGCUGAGGCACGAAAGCAUGGGUAGCAAACAGGAUUAGAUACCCUGGUAGUCCAUGCCGUAAACGGUGAUUACUAGGUGUGGGGGGUCUGACCCUCUCCGUGCCGGAGUUAACACGAUAAGUAAUCCACCUGGGAAGUACGACCGCGAGGUUGAA